UACAGAGGUCCCAAGCGUUGUUCGGAUUCACUGGGCGUAAAGGGUGCGUAGGUGGCUUGGUAAGUUUGAUGUGAAAUCUCCGGGCUUAACCCGGAAAUGGCAUUGAAUACUAUUGAGCUGGAGGUUUGGAGGGGGACUGGAAUUCUCGGUGUAGCAGUGAAAUGCGUAGAUAUCGAGAGGAACACCAGUGGCGAAGGCGGCCUUCUGGACAGUGACUGACGCUGAGACGCGAAAGCGUGGGGAGCAAACAGG
rnacentral:rRNA from 1 species